CCUACACUACGUCAGAAACAAGCUAACGAGCAUCGCUGCGGAGACGAGACAGCACGCUGAAAGGACAGCAGGCUGCUGCAUUUCAGGUGAGUCACAGGUGAGUCAGGUGUGUUACAAGAGAGUCACAGGUGAGUCACAGGUGAGUCAGGUGUGUUACAAGAGAGUCACAGGUGAGUCACAGGUGAGUCAGCUGUGUUACAAGAGAGUCACAGGUGAGUCACAGGUGAGUCAGCUGUGUUACAAGAGAGUCACAGGUGAGUCACAGGCGAGUCAGGUGUGUUACAAGAGAGUCACAGGUGAGUCAGGUGUGUUACAGGUGAGUCACAGGUGAGUCAGGUGUGUUACAGGUGAGUCAGGUGUGUUACAAGAGAGUCACAGGUGAGUCACAGGUGAGUCAGGUGUGUUACAGGUGAGUCAGGUGUGUUACAAGAGAGUCACAGGUGAGUCACAGGUGAGUCAGCUGUGUUACAAGAGAGUCACAGGUGAGUCACAGGUGAGUCAGCUGUGUUACAAGAGAGUCACAGGUGAGUCACAGGUGAGUCAGGUGUGUUACAAGAGAGUCACAGGUGAGUCAGGUGAGUUACAGGUGAGUCAGGUGAGUUACAGGUGAGUCACAGGUGAGUCAGAGAUGUGUCACUGGUGAGUCAGGUGUGUUACAGGUGAGUCACAGGUGAGUUUGGUGAGUCAUAGAUGUGUUACAGGUGAGUCAGGUGAGUUACAGGUGAGUCACAGGUGAGUCAGAGAUGUGUCACUGGUGAGUCAGGUAUGUUACAGGUGAGUCAUAGAUGUGUUACAGGUGAGUCAGGUGAGUCACAGGUGAGUCACAGGUGAGUUUGGUGAGUCAUAGAUGUGUUACAGGUGAGUAAGGUGAGUUACAGGUGAGUCACAGGUGAGUCAAAGAUGUGUCACUGGUGAGUCAGGUGAGUUACAGGUGAGUCACAGGGGAGUCAGAGAUGUGUUACAGGUGAGUCAGGUGAGUUUGGUGAGUCAUAGAUGUGUCACAGGUGUAUUACAGGUGUGUUACAGGUGUGUCACAGGUGUGUUACAGGUGUGUUACAGGUGAGUCAGGUGAGUUUGGUGAGUCAUAGAUGUGUCACAGGUGAGUCACAGGUGUGUUACAGGUGAGUCAGGUGAGUUUGGUGUGUCACAGGUGAGUCACAGGUGUGUCACAGGUGUGUUACAGGUGUGUCACAGGUG